rnacentral:rRNA from 1 species
CGUGUAGGCGGAGAUGCAAGUCAGAUGUGAAAUCCCCGGGCUUAACCCGGGAACUGCAUUUGAAACUGUAUCCCUUGAGUAUCGGAGAGGCAGGCGGAGUUCCUAGUGUAGCGGUGAAAUGCGUAGAUAUUAGGAGGAACACCAGUGGCGAAGGCGGCCUGCUGGACGACAACUGACGCUGAGGCGCGAAAGCGUGGGAGCAAACA